AACGAACGCUGGCGGCUUGCCUAACACAUGCAAGUCGAACGAGACCUUCGGGUCUAGUGGCGCACGGGUGCGUAACGCGUGGGAACCUGCCCUUAGGUCCGGAAUAACUCCCCGAAAGGGGUGCUAAUACCGGAUAAUGUCUUCGGACCAAAGAUUUAUCGCCUUUGGAUGGGCCCGCGUUGGAUUAGCUAGUUGGUAGGGUAAAAGCCUACCAAGGCGACGAUCCAUAGCUGGUCUGAGAGGAUGAUCAGCCACACUGGGACUGAGACACGGCCCAGACUCCUACGGGAGGCAGCAGUGGGGAAUAUUGGACAAUGGGCGAAAGCCUGAUCCAGCAAUGCCGCGUGAGUGAUGAAGGCCUUAGGGUUGUAAAGCUCUUUUACCCGGGAUGAUAAUGACAGUACCGGGAGAAUAAGCGCCGGCUAACUCCGUG
rnacentral:rRNA from 1 species